CCUACGGGUGGCAGCAGUGGGGGAUAUUGCACAAUGGGGGGAACCCUGAUGCAGCGACGCCGCGUGGGUGAAGAAGCGCCUCGGCGCGUAAAGCCCUGUCAGCAGGGAAGAAAAUGACGGUACCUGAAGAAGAAGCCCCGGCUAACUACGUGCCAGCAGCCGCGGUAAUACGGAGGGGGCAGGCGUUAUCCGGAUGUACUGGGUGUAAAGGGGGCGCAGACGGCGAUGCAAGCCAGGAGUGAAAGCCCGGGGCCCAACGCCGGGACUGCUCUUGAAACUGCGUGGCUAGAGUGCAGGAGGGGUAGGCGGAAUGCCUGGUGUAGCGGGGAAAUGCGUAGAUAUCAGGAGGAACACCGGUGGCGAAGGCGGCCUGCUGGACUGCAACUGACGUUGAGGCCCGAAAGCGUGGGGAGCAAACAGGAUUAGAUACCCCGGUAGUC
rnacentral:rRNA from 1 species